UACGAAGGGGGCUAGCGUUGCUCGGAUUCAUUGGGCGUAAAGGGUGCGUAGGCGGCGCGGUAAGUCGGGUGUGAAAUCUCGGAGCUUAACUCCGAAACUGCAUUCGAUACUGCCGUGCUUGAGGACUGGAGAGGAGACUGGAAUUUACGGUGUAGCGGUGAAAUGCGUAGAUAUCGUAAGGAAGACCGAGUGGCGAAGGCGGGUCUCUGGACAGUUCCUGACGCUGAGGCACGAAGGCCAGGGAGCAAACGGG
rnacentral:rRNA from 1 species